GCACGUGUGUGUGUGUCUGCAUUUGCAUAUGCAUCUCCACCAGAAUCUACGUGCAGUGCUGGAUCUCCCCUCCUGCCUGCUGGCUUUCAUCUGACUGCUUUAGAUGGCUGCACCUCUGGUUGGAAUCUGAAGGUGCCGUGUCCAGCUCAGAGGUUUCCAUGUAGAAGUGAUUUAAACCUCAGUCUUAGAAGAAUUCUUUUGCUUCAUUCUCUACCUUUCAUUUAUUUUUAUAGCCUCACAUGUUUGUCUCCAAGCUACCAGACAACAUCACACCAGUUUUUUAAAAAAAUGAUUAAUUCAUUUGCUUGAUUACUUUUCUGGAAUAUUUGGAAUAUCUCUUAUGAAGUGUUGCAAUAAAAUCUUACAUAUUUCUUUUUUAUCAUCUACCUCUAAAACUGCUUACAAGGACGAACCUUGAGGCUGCCUCUCAACAGUCACACUUUCCACAUUUGUCCGCCUUUGCUUCUGUGUUCACUGUUGGCAUGUCAGUCCUUAGUGGCUUCACUGAACAGCCCUUGUCAGCAAACUGACUUUGAGAACUUCAGGCUUGAGCCCUGUGCAGGCGUUGGCUUGCUCCAGUGGUGACACUUAAAGCCAGCCAGGCUUCCAGCACAGCAGAGCACCCGGCAGAAGUGUGGGCACAGGAGUCUUAAGGAAUUUACACUUUGUCCCUUCUGAAUUCUUGAUGCACACCCAAGAAGGAAAAAUCCGAGGACUUCCACUCUAGGAGUGAAGGAUGAAUUGCGGCCCUGUGCCUUUCCCCACCCCACCCUGAAGAGGGGUCAGGAGCAGAGGGUGGGCGUGCCCGACUGCAGAAGCCCAGCAGGCACCUGGGAAGAGAUGGCUUGAAUGGCCAAAGAGCACAGAAGAAUGACAGUCACAGCACCCACGUGUCUUUCAGGUACAAAUAUAUGAAGAAGACUUCAGAAAGGAGCGAUCGGAUCGGGAAAGGCUCAGUCGGGAGAAAGAAGAGCUGCGGCGGGCUCAUCAAGCUUCCCGGGCCCAGCUGACCAGGCUGAGUUCCCAGGUACACACCCAGCGAGGCCUGGGCCAAGCACACGCGUUUCAUUUUUAUUUUCUCAUUUAAAAAGUAUUCAAGCCUUUUGAAUUCUGUCGGUUGACGUUGGGUUCUUGAGAGGCCACACCUGGGAUGAAGUCACUCUUAAGGACCUUGCAAGCAGAUGAAAAUGUCUGAAAUCUCUUUUAUCUUGAGUAUGUUGAGGAAUGACCCCAGAAACUGGAUUCCAAAGUCUUUUAUAAAAUACAGUUCUUGUGAUCUUUUCCCCAUAAUAUUUAUCUUGGGAGAAUGGGAGUUGAACUACCUUCUACUCAAAUAUAGUGAAGUGGUUUCUAAAUUCCUGUCGCUUUCUUUGAAGGGCUGUGUUGGAAUGUCCCUGCCCUCUAAAAACAUGCCGUGCACAUGUCUGCUGAGACCCAGGGCCCUGGUCACUGGGCCCCAGAGGGAAUGUGACUAGAGUCCUUUCCAGGAAGCCAUUUAUGGACUAGACUGUAUUGACUGUAAGUGAACUAAAAUUAGGUGUAACAGGAGAAAAAGUAGACUCGGACAUUGCCGCGAGGGUGAGCACUGAUGUUAAGGAGGGAGAGUGUAGCCAACGCGAUUUUGAAAUAACCACAUGCUUUUGAUUUGCAAAACCCUGCCGUGGUUUCAGUAAAGGGGAAAUGGGGCAGGCCUGCUAGCUGCCGACUUCCAGUCUCUGAAGGACUCCAAGCCCUCAGUGGUCCUCUUCUGCCCAAUGCAAUGUGGACAGUGAACGGCAUCUGAUUUCUUCUCUCAUAUUUUUUCAAGGAUUAACUUGAAAUUCUUAAUUUUAUGUGGAAAAUUAUUUGGUAGAACCAUUUCCUAAAAAAUUAAAAGGAAUAAAAUUAAGGAAUUAUAAAGGAAAUUAGUAGGAUUAAAAGUAUAAUUCUUUAAUUUUCUGAAAGUAAUCCAUGAAACCCAACAAAUAAUUUAUACAACAAUGGGUGAAGAAGUUCUGAUUAUACUGGGUGAAGAAUUCCUCUUUCAAUCUUUAUUGCUUACAAACAAAGCCCCCUUGAUUUCUUUGUUAGUGCACAAAUUGCUUUAUUCCUGGUAUGUUUCAAUUUUAUUUAUUCUAUUUUAUUAAGUUCAGAGUGAUUCCUCUGCACCAAACCCCAAAAAGUUCAGAGUGGCAAUAAAUUGGUGCCUAAGAUGGGCAAUGUACUUUCCAUUUUAGAACUUUCAGUUCAACCAGGAACAUAGUCCAUCUACUUAACAUUUUAGAACAUAGUCCACACGCAGUUCUGGUGCCUGUGCAUCUAUAAAAAGCAAUUUUGACCAGCAUCAGCAAAAUAAAUAUAUUGUCCAAGUAGUAUGAUAUAAUUGUGUUUAUAAGCUAAGGAACAAUCUU
rnacentral:lncRNA from 1 species